GACGAACGCUGGCGGCGUGCUUAACACAUGCAAGUCGAACGAUGAAGCCGGAGCUUGCUCUGGUGAAUUAGUGGCGAACGGGUGAGUAACACGUGAGUAACCUGCCCUUGACUCUGGGAUAACUGCGGGAAACUGUAGCUAAUACCGGAUACGACCCUCGGAGGCAUCUCCUGGGGGUGGAAAGAAUUUCGGUAAAGGAUGGACUCGCGGCCUAUCAGCUAGUUGGUGAGGUAAAGGCUCACCAAGGCGACGACGGGUAGCCGGCCGGAGAGGGUGACCGGCCACACUGGGACUGAGACACGGCCCAGACUCCGACGGGAGGCAGCAGUGGAGAAUAUUGCACAAUGGGCGCAAGCCUGAUGCAGCAACGCCGCGUGAGGGAUGACGGCCUUCGGGUUGUAAACCUCUUUUAGCAGGGAAGAAGCGAAAGUGACGGUACCUGCAGAAAAAGCACCGGCUAACUACGUGCCAGCAGCCGCCGUAA
rnacentral:rRNA from 1 species